GAGAGAGACUCGCCAGUGACGAAAACUGCUAAUUCUCGUAACCUUGGUUGAACUCCAAGGCUCACUCG
rnacentral:tRNA from 1 species